rnacentral:rRNA from 1 species
AGCAGUCGCCGCGGUAAUACGGAGGGGGCUAGCGUUGUUCGGGAUUACUGGGCGUAAAGCGUACGUAGGCGGCUUUGUAAGUCAGAGGUGAAAGCCUGGUGCUCAACACCAGAACUGCCUUUAAGACUGCAUCGCUUGAACGUCGGAGAGGUGAGUGGAAUUCCGAGUGUAGAGGUGAAAUUCGUAGAUAUUCGGAAGAACACCAGUGGCGAAGGCGGCUCACUGGACGACUGUUGACGCUGAGGUACGAAAGCGUGGGGAGCAAACAGGAUUAGAUACCCGCGUAGUCCCUGUCUCUUAUAC